rnacentral:tRNA from 1 species
AGUCAGGUGGCGGAACUGGUAGACGUUAUACUAUUGGCUUAAGCAACUUAUAGUGAAGCUUAUUACAGGUUCGAAUCCUGUCCUGACUAC